ncrna:unclassified sequences Glutamine-II riboswitch (downstream peptide RNA)
AUACGUUCAUCCCAGAGCCAGCUCGAAGCAUUCUUGCCAUCGAUAACUGGCUCGCCAUAGGGACGCAGCAACCUAACGAUGGAACGGGCGUUAGG